GGGUCGAGGCUGAGAAUCUAAGCGCCGGUAAACGGCGGUGGUAACUAUAACCAUCCUAAGGUAGCGAAAUUCCUUGUCGGGUAAGUUCCGACCUGCACGAAUGGCGUAACGACUUCCCCGCUGUCUCAACCACAGGCCCGGUGAAAUUGCAGUACGAGUAAAGAUGCUCGUUUCGCGCAGCAGGACGGAAAGACCCCGGGACCUUCACUAUAGCUUGGCAUUGGCGUUUGGAGCGUCUUGUGUAGGAUAGGUGGGAGACUGUGAAGCCGGCACGCCAGUGUCGGUGGAGUCGUUGGUGAAAUACCACUCUGGUCGUUUUGAGCGUCUAACCCGCGCCCGUGUAUCCGGGUGGGGGACAGUGCCUGGUGGGUAGUUUAACUGGGGCGGUUGCCUCCUAAAGUGUAACGGAGGCGCCCAAAGGUUCCCUCAGCCUGGUUGGCAAUCAGGUGGCGAGUGUAAGGGCACAAGGGAGCUUGACUGUGAGACGGACGUGUCGAGCAGGUGCGAAAGCAGGGCCUAGUGAUCCGGCAUCUACGUGUGGAAGUGGUGUCGCUCAACGGCUAAAAGGUACCCCGGGGAUAACAGGCUGAUCUUCCCCAAGAGUCCAUAUCGACGGGAUGGUUUGGCACCUCGAUGUCGGCUCGUCGCAUCCUGGGGCUGGAGUAGGUCCCAAGGGUUGGGCUGUUCGCCCAUUAAAGCGGCACGCGAGCUGGGUUUAGAACGUCGCGAGACAGUUCGGUCCCUAUCCGCUGCGCGCGUAGGAGAAUUGAGAGGGUCUGUCCCUAGUACGAGAGGACCGGGACGGACGAACCUCUGGUGUGCCAGUUGUCCCGCCAGGGGCACGGCUGGUUGGCUACGUUCGGUCGGGAUAACCGCUGAAAGCAUCUAAGCGGGAAGCCUUCCUCGAGAUGAGUUCUCCCACCCCUUUGUGGGUGUAAGGCCCCCAAGAGACGAUUGGGUUGAUAGGCCGGGGAUGGAAGCGCGGUAACGUGUGGAGUCGACCGGUACUAAUAGGCCGAGUGGCUUGAACACACA
rnacentral:rRNA from 1 species